AUAUAUAAUGUAUUGAAGUGAAAUUCGUAUAACAUAAAAUUAACUACUUUAAAGUGAACAACUCAGUGGCACUUAGUACAUUCACCAUGCUGUGCUGCCACCACCUCUACCUAGUUCCACAGCAUAUCUGUCAACCCACA